GUGGGGAAUAUUGGACAAUGGGCGAAAGCCUGAUCCAGCCAUGCCGCGUGUGUGAAGAAGGCCUUUUGGUUGUAAAGCACUUUAAGCGAGGAGGAGGCUACCGAGAUUAAUACUCUUGGAUAGUGGACGUUACUCGCAGAAUAAGCACCGGCUAACUCUGUGCCAGCAGCCGCGGUAAUACAGAGGGUGCGAGCGUUAAUCGGAUUUACUGGGCGUAAAGCGUGCGUAGGCGGCUUUUUAAGUCGGAUGUGAAAUCCCGGAGCUUAACUUAGGAAUUGCAUUCGAUACUGGGAAGCUAGAGUAUGGGAGAGGAUGGUAGAAUUCCAGGUGUAGCGGUGAAAUGCGUAGAGAUCUGGAGGAAUACCGAUGGCGAAGGCAGCCAUCUGGCCUAAUACUGACGCUGAGGUACGAAAGCAUGGGGAGCAAACAGGAUUAGAAACCCUGGUAGUCC
rnacentral:rRNA from 1 species